CUGCUUUUGGCACAGAGGUAGCUUCCUUCUCGUCUGUGGCACCUGCAGGAAACUGGGAGAGUCCCUUCCAGGAAGCACUAGAGAGGCAACCACUCCUGCCUCAGGGACCUAGCAGGGGAGCAGUCCAGACCGGCAAGGUGUCGGGAUGAGGAGCCCAGAGCUGAGAGUGAGGCUCCAUCGCUUCUGCUUGGCCGUGAUUAGUCAUGAUCCAGCUAUCUGGGGAUCUCACGAGAACCUUCCAGCUUGGGAAUCCAUCUGGUGAACAAGCCCUCCAUGUGAUUCUGCGGCUCACCUUGAGCCGGAGCCAACAAACUUGUGAGAUCUAAGUUCUCCAACCAGGGAUUGAACCCAUGACCCCUGAAGUGGAAGCAUGGAGUCUUAACCGUUGGUCUGCCAGCAAAGUCCCUACCCUUCUCUUCUUCCUAGCCCACA